rnacentral:rRNA from 2 species
CGUGCCAGCAGCCGCGGUAAUACGUAGGUGGCAAGCGUUGUCCGGAUUUAUUGGGCGUAAAGCGAGCGCAGGCGGUUUUUUAAGUCUGAUGUGAAAGCCUUCGGCUCAACCGAAGAAGUGCAUCGGAAACUGGGAAACUUGAGUGCAGAAGAGGACAGUGGAACUCCAUGUGUAGCGGUGAAAUGCGUAGAUAUAUGGAAGAACACCAGUGGCGAAGGCGGCUGUCUGGUCUGUAACUGACGCUGAGGCUCGAAAGUAUGGGUAGCAAACAGGAUUAGAUACCCUGGUAGUCCAUACCGUAAACGAUGAAUGCUAAGUGUUGGAGGGUUUCCGCCCUUCAGUGCUGCAGCUAACGCAUUAAGCAUUCCGCCUGGGGAGUACGGCCGCAAGGCUGAAACUCAAAGGAAUUGACGGGGGCCCGCACAAGCGGUGGAGCAUGUGGUUUAAUUCGAAGCUACGCGAAGAACCUUACCAGGUCUUGACAUACUAUGCAAAUCUAAGAGAUUAGACGUUCCCUUCGGGGACAUGGAUACAGGUGGUGCAUGGUUGUCGUCAGCUCGUGUCGUGAGAUGUUGGGUUAAGUCCCGCAACGAGCGCAACCCUUAUUAUCAGUUGCCAGCAUUAAGUUGGGCACUCUGGUGAGACUGCCGGUGACAAACCGGAGGAAGGUGGGGAUGACGUCAAAUCAUCAUGCCCCUUAUGACCUGGGCUACACACGUGCUACAAUGGAUGGUACAACGAGUUGCGAACUCGCGAGAGUAAGCUAAUCUCUUAAAGCCAUUCUCAGUUCGGAUUGUAGGCUGCAACUCGCCUACAUGAAGUCGGAAUCGCUAGUAAUCGCGGAUCAGCAUGCCGCGGUGAAUACGUUCCCGGGCCUUGUACACACCGCCCGUCACACCAUGAGAGUUUGUAACACCCAAAGUCGGU